CGUACAUCCAGAGAACUUAGCAGAGAUGCUUUGGUGCCUUCGGGAACUCUGAGACAGGUGCUGCAUGGCUGUCGUCAGCUCGUGUUGUGAAAGUGUUGGGUUAAGUCCCGCAACGAGCGCAACCCUUAUCCUUUGUUGCCAGCGGUUCGGCCGGGAACUCAAAGGAGACUGCCGGUGAUAAACCGGAGGAAGGUGGGGAUGACGUCAAGUCAUCAUGGCCCUUACGGCCAGGGCUACACACGUGCUACAAUGGCGCAUACAAAGAGAAGCGACCUCGCGAGAGCAAGCGGACCUCAUAAAGUGCGUCGUAGUCCGGAUUGGAGUCUGCAACUCGACUCCAUGAAGUCGGAAUCGCUAGUAAUCGUAGAUCAGAAUGCUACGGUGAAUACGUUCCCGGGCCUUGUACACACCGCCCGUCACACCAUGGGAGUGGGUUGCAAAAGAAGUAGGUAGCUUAACCUUCGGGAGGGCGCUUACCACUUUGUGAUUCAUGACUGGGGUGAAGUCGUAACAAGGUAAGCGUAGCGAG
rnacentral:rRNA from 1 species